UACGUAGGGGGCAAGCGUUGUCCGGAAUCAUUGGGCGUAAAGAGCGUGUAGGCGGCCAGAAAAGUCCGCUGUGAAAACUCGAGGCUCAACUUCGAGCUGUCGGUGGAAACUUUCUGGCUAGAGUCCGGAAGAGGAGAAUGGAAUUCCUGGUGUAGCGGUGGAAUGCGCAGAUAUCAGGAAGAACAUCGGUGGCGAAGGCGCUCUGCUGGACCAUAACUGACACUCAGGGACGAAAGCUAGGGGAGCGAAUGGG
rnacentral:rRNA from 1 species